AGAGCGAACGCUGGCGGCAGGCUUAACACAUGCAAGUCGAGCGCCCCGCAAGGGGAGCGGCAGACGGGAGAGUAACACGUGGGAACGUACCUUUCGGUUCGGAACAACCCAGGGAAACUUGGGCUAAUACCGGAUACGCCCGCAAGGGGAAAGAUUUAUCGCCGGAAGAUCGGCCCGCGUCUGAUUAGCUAGUUGGUGAGGUAACGGCUCACCAAGGCGACGAUCAGUAGCUGGUCUGAGAGGAUGAUCAGCCUCACUGGGACUGAGACACGGCCCAGACUCCUACGGGAGGCAGCAGUGGGGAAUAUUGGACAAUGGGCGCAAGCCUGAUCCAGCCAUGCCGCGUGGGUGAUGAAGGCCCUAGGGUUGUAAAGCCCUUUCGGCGGGGAAGAUAAUGACGGUACCCGCAGAAGAAGCCCCGGCUAACUUCGCGCCAGCAGCCGC
rnacentral:rRNA from 1 species